GCCGCGCCGGGGCUGCUGCGCACCGUGCGCGUCCGCGGAAUGCGCGCACCAACCAAAAGACGCUGAACUUCCUGGAUCAUAUUGCCUGCACCGCUUGCUCUCCGUUAUCAAAAAGGCCAUGGAGCCUAGGAAGAAAUCGAGAAGGGAAGCUCUCCCCAUGAAGAAUCCCACAUGCCAUUACUUAUUGAUAUCUGUGAUUCUCCUGCUCGCCUUCCUUCAGAUGUUAACUUCCCUGGUGUACUUCGCUGGAGUCUUCGUCCUCUCCGAUGAACUCCUCAUCAGCCCCUUUCGGCAGUACAGUGGCCCUCUCUCGAGAGUUCAUUCUGAGAUAGACAUUGACACUGUGGUAACAACAGUGAUUACGUUAUGUUUCUACGUUCCAGUGGUGCUUGUGGCCUUUGCCCUGCUGGCCCUGCUCUUAGCGGCCUAUGCCAAAGACAAAUCAGCAGCAUCGCUUAGCAUGGCCUGCCAGGCUGCGUCAAGCUUCCUGAACCUGGCUGGGACUAUUACUUUCUUGCUGGCUUAUCGGUCAUAUUUGAGUUGGAAAGACAUGACCGGUGGAUUCUACAUGUGCGUGGGUGUGCAGGUGGAGCUGGCGAUCACCGCUGUGCUGACCUAUUUGUCAGGAAGGAGGCCAACGUCUGAGUGGAAAUAAAAAGGUCAAAGACUGGAGAGUAUACCAAUAA